GAGUUCUGAGGAGUUUGAUUCGGGGAUAGACAAUUUGUCAUCUCCCAAGACGCAUAUUGUGUGGAGUAACCGCAUGAACACUCAUAUUUUGCCUGAGUUUGUUGUUAGUUUCAAGGCUUCUUCUUCUUUGAAAGGGUUCUUCAUGAAUGGAGAACCUGCAGGAAUACCAACUUCACCAUGCAGGAUGUCAUUUCCAGGAAAACAAAAUUUCAAGGCAAGAACUUAUACAGCGAGUGAGACAAAUUGUAGGGGGGACGAGAUGUUGAUUGCUCUAAUCAAAUCCUUUAGAACCAAGGUAUAGCAGUUCCUCCUUUGGC
rnacentral:misc_RNA from 1 species